rnacentral:rRNA from 1 species
AUGAACGCUGGCGGCGUGCCUAAUCCCUGCAAGUCGAGCGAACAGACGAGGAGCUUGCUCCUUCGACGUUAGCGGCGGACGGGUGAGUAACACGUAGGUAACCUACCUAUAAGACUGGGAUAACUUCGGGAAACCGGAGCUAAUACCGGAUAAUAUUUCGAACCGCAUGGUUCGAUAGUGAAAGAUGGCUUUGCUAUCACUUAUAGAUGGACCUGCGCCGUAUUAGCUAGUUGGUAAGGUAACGGCUUACCAAGGCAACGAUACGUAGCCGACCUGAGAGGGUGAUCGGCCACACUGGAACUGAGACACGGUCCAGACUCCUACGGGAGGCAGCAGUAGGGAAUCUUCCGCAAUGGGCGAAAGCCUGACGGAGCAACGCCGCGUGAGUGAUGAAGGUCUUCGGAUCGUAAAACUCUGUUAUUAGGGAAGAACAAACGUGUAAGUAACUGUGCACGUCUUGACGGUACCUAAUCAGAAAGCCACGGCUAACUACGUG